GACGUAGGGCGCGAGCGUUGUCCGGAUUUAUUGGGCGUAAAGAGCUCGUAGGCGGCUUGUCGCGUCGACUGUGAAAACCCGCGGCUCAACUGCAGGCUUGCAGUCGAUACGGGCAGGCUAGAGUUCGGUAGGGGAGACUGGAAUUCCUGGUGUAGCGGUGAAAUGCGCAGAUAUCAGGAGGAACACCGGUGGCGAAGGCGGGUCUCUGGGCCGAUACUGACGCUGAGGAGCGAAAGCGUGGGGAGCGAACAGG
rnacentral:rRNA from 1 species